rnacentral:lncRNA from 1 species
ACACCUGCUCCUGAACACCUGCUCCUCACUGCCUUGAUGGAGGCAGGCUGUAGCGAUGGUUCUCAAAGGAGAUGGUGUUCUGCUUCCUACGGGGACACACCUAGCUGCCUCAGUGUGACCCCAGAGUUCAUGGCUCUCCUUUGGCCUCUGGUCUGGGCUCUGGUAACCCUUUUCCCAGACUUAGCACCAUCUCAGGUGAGGAGCCCUGGCUCCGCUUGACCUCAGCCCUUACUCUGCAGUCAUCACUCUCGGGGCUGCAUGAUGGUCUCCACCGCUCUUCCAGUCCAGUUCACGGCAGCCCUUCCCCGAGAUCUGGCUUCGUUCAGCUCUUUGGACUGAAAUGGUCCCAAACUGCAGAAGGCUCUGUUUGCUCAGUUCUCUUUCCCGCAAGGGAACCUGUUUCCUCCUCCUCGACUGGGAUUCAGGCUUAAGCCAGUCUCUCAGUAGGGCCUGUGGCAGAAACACCUCAGGUCCAUGCCAAGCUGCCUCAGUUGCCUCAGGCAGGCUUUGCAAAGGCAAGGGGCGUAAACACCAGCAGCCAUUCACCUGGCCUAGCUUGCCAGCAGACAUACCUGAAACACUUUCUGACCUCUCUGUGGGAGAGACAGCCAGCAUAUCCAGAGCUUGCUACCACCCUGACUGACAAACAUCUCUGGCUGGGGACCGUGAGUAAGUCUGGUUCCAGUCCUGAGCUCUGGGUCACUGUUCCUGGGUAUGCCUCCCACCAAUUCAGCCUGUGAAGGACUGAAAGAGAUGCUGAGAAAAGUACACACUUAAUAAGGUUGUGACAGGCCUGUGGGAACCUCAGGGAGGGGCACCUCCAGAGGCCCUCAGAAAUCGUGAAGCCAUGUAUGAAGAGAGCUGGUGAUUCUCCUGCACCGUCAAACCUUAGAAAAGCAAAAAAAGGCUUUCUCUGGCUGGGUCCACCAAAUAUUUUAUCACAAAUAUAGGACCUGAACUCGAGUUCUACCAGAAACCCAUGUCCCAAGAAGAUCCUUAGAAGGGUUAAACUGACCAAGGCUCCUCCCUCAAAGACAGCCCUAAGUGCCUGUGACACAGUUCAGCUGUGACAAAACCCUGCCACCCACCUUCCUGCCCCCAACACUAACUGAACUUGGGCCUCUGGUCUUUGUGAGUCCACAGGGUUUCCAGAAUGCCCUGGUGGGUUCCAGAAGCAGCCAUGGCUGUAGCAGACCCCUCGGACACAUGACGGGCAUGCAGGAAGGAAGCUGACUGACAGCAGAAGAGAGUACCAGUCAGCCAUCUGCAUUUGGAGGCAGACGGGAUGGGCUCACCUACAGUCAGUGCAAGGCCAUCUUCUGUAGAUGUCUAGCCUGGAACAUCUCCUGAUUUUCGACAUGUGAGCCAUGCAAGAGGGCAGUCUGAGGAGUUCAUGGCUGUUAUCAUCAAUUCCCCUAACUGCCUAGAUCCAGUAGGUAUGGCCAAGAAAUAAGAGAAUCAGCAGGCCAGAUGUCACUCCACCCCACUUCCAGGCUUCCCAGAAGGUGGACCUGGAGUCAGGAGGCAAGACUGAGCUGAGAGACGGCUAGUCUCAUACAGCUUUGCUGGGCCUUUUCACUCCCCCCUCCUGCCUCAUGAUGUUUUUUCUCUCUCUCCUUCUCUGGGGGAUGGCCACAACUACAGUCUACAUAUUUAUUCAGCAUUUUUAAUAAACCCAUUUCAUCUUUAUGUGGGUGCAUGUGUGCACAUGUGAGUGUUGGCAUGUGCAUAUUUUCUCAUACAAAGGCAGUAGCU